UCUUAAGUGAAGUAAAAAGAAUGACGUCGUUUUGGAAACUUUGUUUAACUCUUUUCGUCUCUCCAAACUUUGUUGGGGAAAGAACCGAAGAAGAAAGCUAAAAAGGAGAAGAUUUCAGCGGUCGUCUUUUUCUCUUACAUUUUCUUUUGAGAUCUGAAUCUGAAAAAAAACAACAAAAUGCAAGAUCCGCCAAGUCUGAAACCGAUCACGGAUCCACAAAUUCCUUCCAAUGCAUCACCCACCACCCAAACGACGCCGUCUUUCCCAAACCAAACCCCAUUUCGAGGCUCUUACCACAGGAGAGCCCACUCCGAAGUCCAAUUUCGGCUCCCGGACGAUUUGGAUCUGGCGUCCGACCCGUUAGAAGGGCUGGGAUCCGAAGACGACUUGUUUUGCAGUUACAUGGAUAUUGAGAACCUGGGGGGAUCAUCGAAGGGGGCGGACGAAGGAGGGGGUGCGGCCGGCUCUUCAAGUGGUGGGUCGGGUCAGAACCCGAAAGGAGGGGAAAUGAGCGGCGAUUCGGGGAUGGGCGAGAAGAAUAAUGGAGGAGGGAAAGGAAGGCAUAGGUAUAGUAAUUCAGUUGAUGGGUGCUCGUUAAUGGAGUCUAUUGAAGCUAAGAAAGCUAUGGCUCCUAAUAAGCUUGCUGAAUUGUGGACUAUUGACCCAAAGAGGGCUAAAAGGAUCAUUGCAAAUCGGCAGUCAGCUGCUCGUUCCAAAGAGAGGAAAGCCCGAUAUAUAUCUGAACUGGAGAGAAAAGUCCAAACACUUCAAACGGAAGCAACUACACUUUCUGCACAACUAACCCUAUUCCAGAGAGAUACAACAGGCUUGACUACUGAGAACACUGAGCUUAAGCUUCGGCUACAAUCUAUGGAACAACAGGCUCAGCUACGUGAUGCUCUAAACGAAGCACUGAAGAAGGAAGUAGAGAGGCUGAAGAUUGUUACUGGAGAAAUAAUGACACCCACAGAUACCUUUAAUUUGGGAAUGCACCAUGUACAAUACACCAAAUCUUCCUUAUUUCCUCCCCAGCCACUGCAUAUGCAAGUUGACACCCAGAAUAUACGCAUGCCACCAUUUCAUCCCUUCCAAUCUAACAUGUUGACACCUAAUCAGUCUGUGGUAGCUGCCUCCAACUCACAUGCCUUGGCCGAAAUCAUGCAACAGGAUCCUCUUGGCCGAUUGCAGGGGCUUGAUAUCAGUAGCAGGGGUUCCCAUUUAGUGAAAUCUGAAGGCCCCUCAGUUUCUGCCGGUGAAAGCAGUGGAACAUUAUGAUACAAAUUUUGCUUGGGUUGUUCAUAGACUUGUCUUAUUGACAUCGAAAGUACAAGAGGCCUCGGAGAUUCAAAUCUUGGAUCUCAAUUCUCUAAGGAGGGUAACAAAAAUCUAUGACCAUUUGCAAGUCUAGAGGCAAGGUCUGGAUCUGAAGUAAGCUGGAGUGGUAUGUCUGCAGUGGAGGGUAGCCGCUGAGGAGAUCAGAAUGCCAGAAUGAGGCUUCUGUCUUAAGACUAAUUUGGUGUGUGUCAGUCUGCUCAACCUGUCCCUUUAUAGAUUGCUUGGGUUAGACAUGUUUGUUUGAGAAAUAGAUUAAAUGGUCUAUUGAAGUGCCUUGUGAGGAGGAAGAUUCUUAAAUUGUUGGUAGGCAUCCUCUUAAAAACACAGCAUCGUUGAUGGCUUCCACUUUUCUAUGACAUUGCAAGCGACACGAGUUGAGUCAUUUGUUUCUCAAAUUUGGGCCUAAAAUUGCUCAUGAUGCUGGGAUUAGUUCGUAUAGAAGGGCUGCCAAGUCUGAUUAGUUGGCUCUUUUUACUGCCCUUGCCAUGACAAAACCCCUGCUGUUGGAGAAAACUUUUUUUUUUUUUUUUUAAACAAAGGAGACCGUAGCAUAAGGAUAGGGGAAGGGAUUAAGAUUGCUAGGAUUUGAACUCCAAGCUUGCUGGAUGUCAUCUCUUAAGAAUAAUUAUAUAAACCUAGUUAAACUCCGGUUCUUAACUUCCCACUAUGUUUUGGAAAUUCUGUUGCUCUCUGAGGGGAAACUGCCUAAGGUAAAGUGGUUUACACUAAUCUAGUUUGUUAUAACUUAUUCCUUCGCUACCGGGAAACAUUAGCAUUUCUUCGGUGUGUUGUUCAUCAAAGAUAGACUUAUCACUGAAGAUAGGAGAUUGAAAUGCCUAAUUUGCUAUGUUGGUUUAAACAGAACACUAAUUGUUUGAAGGGAUUCAAUCUGUUAUUAGCCUUAGAAAUCAGAAUUGACUUGUCUAGAGAAUGUUGCAAGCUGUUGUAUUAAAUAUCACCUUGGAUGUAGUUGGAGAAUUGCUAGCACCGUCUUAAUCUGUGCUUGCUGUUGGUUGAUGCAGUUUUCUGCUUGUUGGGACAAGCUUGCAGGCUGUGUUGUCAGACUUACGUUCUGGUAAACAGCUUAAUCAUCCGGAAAGUAAAUAGUAACAGUAGUUACUCAAAUUUUGGACUGUCUCUUUCCAUUGCAUUGCCUUUUAUUCUCUGUAAGGAGUCAUAAUCAUAUUCUACGGCACCAAAGCAAUGUUAAGUAUAAGGAACACUUCCUGUAUACCUUAAUGAUUUCUGAGUCUUAAGUGUAGCUCAAAUUAAGUUGGUGUCAGGGCUCUCGAGUGAUGACUUGCAGCCAAUCAGAUCUGGUAAUUCGUAUAUAAGGGUUUAUUUAUUUCGUAUCAAAUAUAUGUAAAAUAUGAAAAUUAUCGUGUCAUAA